rnacentral:rRNA from 1 species
UACGAGGGGGGCGAGCCUUGUUCGGAAUUAUUGGGCGUAAAGGGUGCGUAGGCGGUUUGGUAAGUCUCGUGUGAAAUCUACAGGCUCAACUUGUAGUCUGCAUGAGAAACUGCCGGGCUUGAGUAUGGGAGAGGUGAGUGGAAUUCCUGGUGUAGCGGUGAAAUGCGUAGAGAUCCGGAGGAACACCAAAGGCGAAGGCAGUGUCCUGGGGAGUACCUGACGCUCAGGUGCGAAAGCCAGGGGAGCGAACGGG